AGUCGAACGGUAACAUAAAGAAGCUUGCUUCUUUGAUGACGAGUGGCGGACGGGUGAGUAAUGCUUGGGAAUUUGCCUUGAGGUGGGGGACAACAGUUGGAAACGACUGCUAAUACCGCAUAAUACCUACGGGUCAAAGGGGGCUUUUAGCUCUCGCCUUUAGAGAAGCCCAAGUGGGAUUAGAUAGUUGGUGGGGUAAUGGCCUACCAAGUCGACGAUCCCUAGCUGGUCUGAGAGGAUGAUCAGCCACACUGGAACUGAGACACGGUCCAGACUCCUACGGGAGGCAGCAGUGGGGAAUAUUGCACAAUGGGCGCAAGCCUGAUGCAGCCAUGCCGCGUGUGUGAAGAAGGCCUUCGGGUUGUAAAGCACUUUCAGUAGGGAGGAAGGUUUAGUAGUUAAUACCUGCUAGAUUUGACGUUACCUACAGAAGAAGCACCGGCUAACUCCGUGCCAGCAGCCGCGGUAAUACGGAGGGUGCGAGCGUUAAUCGGAAUUACUGGGCGUAAAGCGUACGCAGGCGGUCAUUUAAGUCAGAUGUGAAAGCCCCGGGCUCAACCUGGGAACUGCAUUUGAAACUGGAUGACUAGAGUGCGGCAGAGGGUGGUAGAAUUUCAGGUGUAGCGGUGAAAUGCGUAGAGAUCUGAAGGAAUACCAAUGGCGAAGGCAGCCACCUGGGCCGACACUGACGCUCAUGUACGAAAGCGUGGGUAGCAAACGGGAUUAGAUACCCUGGUAGUCCACGCCGUAAACGAUGUCUACUAGCAGCUCGUCUCGUUAGAGAGGUUUUGCGCAGCUAACGCGUUAAGUAGACCGCCUGGGGAGUACGG
rnacentral:rRNA from 1 species